rnacentral:rRNA from 1 species
GAUGAACGCUGGCGGCGUGCCUAAUACAUGCAAGUCGAGCGAACGGACGAGAAGCUUGCUUCUCUGCUGUUAGCGGCGGACGGGUGAGUAACACGUGGAUAACCUACCUAUAAGACUGGGAUAACUUCGGGAAACCGGAGCUACUACUGGAUCAUAUUUUGAACCGCAUGGAUCAAAAGUGAAAGACGGUCUUGCUGUCACUUAUAGAUGGAUCCGCGCUGCAUUAGCUAGUUGGUAAGGUAACGGCCUACCAAGGCAACGAUGCAUAGCCGACCUGAGAGGAUGAUCGGCCACACUGGAACUGAGACACGGUCCAGACUCCUACGGGAGGCAGCAGUGGGGAAUCUUCCACAAUGGGCGAAAGCCUGACGGAGCAACGCCGCGUGAGUGAUGAAGGUCUUCGGAUCGUAAAACUCUGUUAUUAGGGAAGAACAUAUGUGUAAGAAACUGUGCACAUCUUGACGGUACCUAAUCAGAAAGCCACGGCUAACUACGUG